rnacentral:rRNA from 1 species
UACGUAGGGACCGAGCGUUGUCCGGAAUCAUUGGGCGUAAAGAGCGUGUAGGCGGCCUGUUAAGUCUUGCGUGAAAUCUCGGGGCUCAACCCCGAGCGGUCGUGAGAAACUGGCAGGCUAGAGUGCGGGAGAGGAGAGUGGAAUUCCUGGUGUAGCGGUGAAAUGCGCAGAUAUCAGGAAGAACACCCGUGGCUAAGGCGGUUCUCUAGUACGGUACUGACGCUGAGACGCGAAAGCGUGGGGAGCGAACAGG